GAUGAACGCUCGCUACAGGCUUAACACAUGCAAGUCGAGGGGAAACGACAUCGCAAGCUUGCUUUUGAUGGGCGUCGACCGGCGCACGGGUGAGUAACGCGUAUCCAACCUGCCCAUCACUUGGGAAUAACCUUGCGAAAGUAAGACUAAUACCCAAUGACAUCCCACGAAGACAUCUGAAUGGGAUUAAAGAUUUAUCGGUGAUGGAUGGGGAUGCGUCUGAUUAGCUUGUUGGCGGGGUAACGGCCCACCAAGGCAACGAUCAGUAGGGGUUCUGAGAGGAAGGUCCCCCACAUUGGAACUGAGACACGGUCCAAACUCCUACGGGAGGCAGCAGUGAGGAAUAUUGGUCAAUGGGCGAGAGCCUGAACCAGCCAAGUAGCGUGCAGGAUGACGGCCCUAUGGGUUGUAAACUGCUUUUAUAAGGGAAUAAAGUGGGUCUCGUGAGACUUUUUGCAUGUACCUUAUGAAUAAGGACCGGCUAAUUCCGUG
rnacentral:rRNA from 1 species